AUGACGCAGCUCGCGUACAACGUCCUGGAGCACGCCGUGGAGGAGCAUGUCAAGAGACUGGGGAUGCCGCUUGUGAGGCGCCACGGGUAUCGCCUGUGCUUCAGCGGCGCGACUCAGGCCGCCUUCCCGCACCUGCCGACGAUGACGCUGCACUUCGAGGAGGGCGGGGAGGAGGACGGUGACCUCGUGAUAAGGCCGCAACAACUCUUCGUCUUCGUUCAGCGCGACAUCUGCCUCGCCGUGGUGCCGAGCGAGCACAUGACCAUCAUCGGCGUGAUGCAGCAGGUGGACACGCGCUUCGUCUAUGACAUGACAGCCGGCAAGAUCCACUUCGCUCCCGAGAGAUGCAGCGACGAUACAGGCGGCCCCAACUGA
rnacentral:rRNA from 1 species